GCCUUGUUAGCUCAGUGGUUGGAGCACUGGUCUUGUAAACCAGGGGUCCAGAGUGAAAUUCUCUGAUAGGGCU